rnacentral:rRNA from 1 species
AGUGAACGCUGGCGGCAGGCCUAACACAUGCAAGUCGAACGGCAGCACAGUAAGAGUUUGCUCUUACGGGUGGCGAGUGGCGGACGGGUGAGGAAUACAUCGGAAUCUUCUUUUUCGUGGGGGAUAACGUAGGGAAACUUACGCUAAUACCGCAUACGAUCUACGGGUGAAAGCAGGGGAUCUUCGGACCUUGCGCGAUUGAAUGAGCCGAUGUCGGAUUAGCUAGUUGGCGGGGUAAAGGCCCACCAAGGCGACGAUCCGUAGCUGGUCUGAGUGGAUGAUCGGCCACACUGGAACUGAGACACGGUCCAGACUCCUACGGGAGGCAGCAGUGGGGAAUAUUGGACAAUGGGCGCAAGCCUGAUCCAGCCAUACCGCGUGGGUGAAGAAGGCCUUCGGGUUGUAAAGCCCUUUUGUUGGGAAAGAAAAGCAGCAGGUUAAUACCCCGCUGUUCUGACGGUACCCAAAGAAUAAGCACCGGCUAACUUCGUG